GAAGGCAGCUUUCAUGUAGGCGAAUUCCACUUUAGGGUUGGAGCCAUGUGAGAGGGAGUGAGGUGGUGUGUACAGGUCAGUGUGAGCCGAAGCUCCAGUUUUCUCAUAGUGCUUUCUUCACCUCCAAAUGGACAUUUCCAAAACAUUUUUAAAAGGUUUUGUUGAUUUUGUUGUUGAAUAUAAAAUUGGGCUUACCCUGGAGUGGGUUGUGCUAGGGGUGGGAAAGGUGCUGGCUUAGUGGAGUGCAGACAGGUCCUCAACUGAUUUAGGUGAAAAGAAAGGUCUUGAUGGGUCUAGAGGCCCAAGGAAUACCAACCCUGCACAAGGGAGGCUUGUUUCCACCCAGUGCAGACAUAAUAGCCUUCCUUCCUUCCUUCCUUCCUUCCUUCCUUCCUUCCUUCCUUCCUUCCUUCUUUCCUUCCUUCCUUUCUCUCUCUCUCUCUCUUCCCCAACUCUCUCUCUCUGUCUCCCCCUGCUCUGUUUCUAUUGGAGCACUGGCUUCUCCUUCUGUAUCUCUGCAGAGAAGUUCUCUUUUCCAUCAGGCAAAAGGCAGGUCCUGAGAUUAUAGGCUAUUGGGGGUUCAUUUUUGUGAAUAAAGAUUGCAGUUCUCAGAGAAUAGGAAGUCAAGAUCUUUUGGGCUGCUUAGACAUCUCGAAGAUACUCAUUGAGGGUGCUUUCUCGGAUGGCUUGGGAGUUUUCUAAAUAUCUGUUUGUCAUAAUUUACCUAUCCAGUGUGCUGGGACUGACUGAAAGGUUGUUAUAUUCUUAGGUGGGACCAAUAGGAAAAGCACAUCCAAGAUAAAAGUGCUAUAUUUCCUCUAUACUUCUUUGAGUUGCACCACACUUGGGUUAAUAGCUCCAUUCUAAGCAUUACCUACAAAGAAGGAGACUGAGAAAGAGAAACAGAAAGGACUAGGAACCAUGAGAACAGUGUAAACCAUGCCCACUGAGGAUGAAUUAUAGGAAUGAAGGAUAUUUUGCCUAAAAAAUAGAAGACUGAGGGUGAAAUAAAAGUCCUUUUUAGAAAACUAGACAGUGGUUAUGAGGAGAGAGAAUCCAUAUGCUUGGUGAGCAAUGUGUGAACAUCGUGGACAAGUCAGUUUUGCUUAAGUCUGAGCAGCACGUUUGA
rnacentral:lncRNA from 10 species